AACGAACGCUGGCGGCAGGCUUAACACAUGCAAGUCGAACGCCCCGCCAGGGGAAUGGCGCACGGGUGAGUAACGCGUGGAUGUCUGCCGUUUGGUUCGGCAUAACCUCGUGAUACUUGGGCUAAUACCUGAUGGUUCCUACGGUAUUAAGAUUUAUCACCAACAGAUGAGUCCGCGUACUAUUAGCUAGUUGGUGAGGUAAUGGCGCCCCAAGGCGACUAUCGUCAGCUGGGCUGAGAGGACGAUCACACACACUGGGACUAGGACACGGCCCAGACUCCUACGGGAGGCAGCAGAGGGGAAUAUUGGACAACGGCGUGAAUGCUGAACGAGCCAGGCCGGGUGAGUGAUGAAGGCGUGCGGGUAGUAAAGCUCUUUUGGCGGGGACUAUGAUGACGGUACCCGAAGAAUAAGCACCGGCUAACUUCGUG
rnacentral:rRNA from 1 species